rnacentral:rRNA from 1 species
UACGAAGGGGGCUAGCGUUGUUCGGAAUUACUGGGCGUAAAGGGCGCGUAGGCGGUGUGUCAAGUCAGGCGUGAAAGCCCCGGGCUCAACCUGGGAACCGCGCUUGAGACUGGCACGCUAGAGUUCGGGAGAGGAUGGUGGAAUUCCCAGUGUAGAGGUGAAAUUCGUAGGUAUUCGCAAGAACACCAGUGGCGAAGGCGGCUCACUGGCCCGAUACUGACGCUGAGGCACGAAAGCGUGGGGAGCAAACAGG